GACGAACGCUGGCGGCGUGCUUAACACAUGCAAGUCGAACGGUGAAGCGCCUUCCUUUUUGGUGGGUGUGGAUGAGUGGCGAACGGGUGAGUAACACGUGAGUAACCUGCCCCCUUCUUCUGGAUAACCGCAUGAAAGUGUGGCUAAUACGGGAUAUUCUGGGUCUGUCGCAUGAUGGGUCUGGGAAAGAUAUUGUUUCGGUGGGGGAUGGGCUCGCGGCCUAUCAGCUUGUUGGUGGGGUGAGGGCCUACCGAGGCGGUGACGGGUAGCCGGCCUGAGAGGGAUGCAGGGCUGGCUUGGGAGGAGGCACAGCCACGAUGGGUACGAGACGCAGCAGUGGGUACUACUGGACGCUGGGGGGGAGAAUGAUGCAGAGAGGGCGCGUGAGGGAUGCAGCCAUGCGGCGUGUGAAACUCAUUCGUUAGUGUUGCAGGGCUGCCUCGUUUGUGAGUAGAUUGACGGUAGCUGGAGAAGAAGCGCCGGCUAACUACGUG
rnacentral:rRNA from 1 species